UCUGAUAUUUACAAUUCACUUAUUUUGAUAUAAUAAAAUACGAAAAAUGAAAUGUUGUAAAAAUAAUUGAUUAUAAUAUUAAUAAAAUGUAAUAGGAAUGCUAACAAAACCAUUAUGUUGGCAUAGGGAAAAAAACUGUUUUUUUUUUUUUAAUUUUCCAAAAUAAAAAAAAAAUCAGUAAAACUGGCUUUAUUUUUGGAAACAAAAAAGCUGCCAAGUAAGUAUGUAGGAAACAAGUAAUAUAUGAGUUGAAUCAUUAUAUAAAGGGUAAGGAUGUAUGGACUUAAAAGUCUGACUGAAGAACAAGAAGAGAUGCACAAAAAAGUCAUUGUUAUCAAUUAGUUCCAAAGAACAAAUUGAUGUUAACAAAGUGGGCACACGCUCGUUGGGACGAUUGGAGAUUUUUCAUUACCGCGAUGGAAUGUUUUGUUUGGCACUCUAAAUGCCAUACCAAAAUCAAUCUCCCUUAUUACCGUUACUAUAUUACAAUGACUGGAAAACAAAGCUGCACAAGUGUGUUCUUUCCCCUUCAACACAUGAAUAUUAUUCUGACUGAUUGUUCAACUCAGUCACCUGUGUGUACAGAUAAACAGGUUGCGAAUACUUGCACUCUCCAGUUCAAUCAAGUUAUUUAGGUAUCUCAGUGAUAUAUUGUCACUACACAAUAUGAGAGACUCUCCUACUGGACUGUAUUUCAAUGUUUUUUUAGUUACAAGUGAAUCAAUAUAUGAGAGAAUAGCUCCUGGUCUAUCAAAUUGUAUAGAUCAUGCGAGAAAACAUUUAAGGUACCUGUGACCACGUCUGGGGAUGUCUCUGAAUCUUGUCGACUGGCUAGCCUGUAUAUACAGUUUGGGUCCGCACUUGAACCAAACUCUCUAAGGUGCUGAUGAUGAACAGGCUGCUGACCCUGCAGGCUGUUACAACAAUCUUCUUUAGAGAAAAUUUGAGGUACUUACGACACUCACAAGGGACGGAAAAGUUGAUGAAGCAGCGAUUAGUCAUUUGUUCAGAAGCCAUCAAAUUCAGAGCAUUUUAAAGGGAACAGAAGAAGCGGAAGACGAACUGAGAAAAACAGAAGAAGAUUUGGGUAAAAACAUACUUAAGUUUGUAACGCCAAUCUAAAGGAUGAAAGAGAUUGCCAGUAUUGUUUGAAAGUCGACAAACUGAGAGAUAAAUUUAUCGAAACAUAAGCAAAUCAUUUACAAGAAAAAAA